rnacentral:lncRNA from 1 species
UUUGAACAAAAAGUAAAAUUUUUGUAAAAUACAACAACAACAAAAGUUCAAUCUUGGAGAAAGAGAUAGAGAAAUAUCCAUAGCUUCUCUGGUAUCUGGGAGAAAGAGUUGUGUAGAGUUGGAUUGCUGUGUUUCUUUUUUUUUUAUGACCCUGCUCAUCUGAUAUGUUAGGAUGGUGGCGGGAUUGCUGUUGUUUUUGUUUUCUGGAAAGGUUUUUGGUGGCUGGUGCUGUGAGGAUUAAGGACUGUUAUCCCAAAUAGGUGAAUAACAGACCUUAAUCAUGCCCCAGAGGUGAACCUUUGGUUUCCUCUGCUUCGAAAUAAACAACAACUUUAAAAAAAAAAAAAUUCUACUUUCUCUAUUUUAGAAAAGAAAGAAAAAAGAUGUCGAAGCAAAG